GGAGGAAGCAGGGGAUCGCAAGACCUUGCGCUUUUGGAGCGGCCGAUGCCUGAUUAGCUUGUUGGUAAGGUAAAAGCUUACCAAGGCUUCGAUCAGUAGCUGGUCUGAGAGGACGGCCAGCCACACUGGGACUGAGACACGGCCCAGACUCCUACGGGAGGCAGCAGUGGGGAAUUUUGGACAAUGGGGGCAACCCUGAUCCAGCCAUGCCGCGUGAGUGAAGAAGGCCUUCGGGUUGUAAAGCUCUUUCAGCCGGAACGAAACGGUUACGGUUAAUACCUGUGACUAAUGACGGUACCGGAAGAAGAAGCACCGGCUAACUACGUGCCAGCAGCCGCGGUAAUACGUAGGGUGCGAGCGUUAAUCGGAAUUACUGGGCGUAAAGCGUGCGCAGGUGGUUUUGUAAGUCAGAUGUGAAAUCCCCGGGCUCAACCUGGGAACUGCGUUUGAAACUACAAAGCUAG
rnacentral:rRNA from 1 species